GUGUGUUCUCCCGUCGUUGCCUCCCUAAGAUAUGAUCUCCUUUCGUCAGGACAAGAUCUGCUCCAGGGCACUGCUCUAGCCCUGGAGAAGAGGCAGACGACCAUUCUGGAAGUCAGUCGAGGUAUCAGAACCAGAAUUUUUCCAUCAGUAAAGAACUGAAGAAGCCUCUGGGAACGAAGGGGAGAAAAGUCUUCAACUGUGUCGGAUCAAAUGACGAGGAUGACUGAGAACCUACAGAGACGAAAAGUGGUAAAUGUUCAACUUUAUUUUAAUGUCAUUACAGGUUAGGAGCAGUCGUAGUUCUCACUGGUUGUCACAUAAAACUGUGUUUUUUUUAAACAUGUCACAAUAGAAACAAAACUCUUUAUACAACGUUCAGUAUUACAUGUAAGAGUCCGUGUGAAGUAGAAUAAAUACACAGAGUAAAAAAAAACAACGACAGUAUGAGGUUCAGCCCAAGGUGACACUGUUCACUUUUUUUGACAUAAAGUUUGAAGUUGGGACCCUAUAUAAUUAUAUUACCUCAAACACAGACAAUCAGUUCACACAUUUUUCCAAGGGUGGAGGAGAUUCUUCUGUCUCCACGGAAUUUUCAGAAACACUUUUACAACUUCAUAACGUUUCAUGUCAAAUCUCACUGUGGAACGGCUGCAAGUCACUGGAGAAAUCCCUGACUCAUCUGCAG